CAGGAGUCCGGGUGCAAAUCCCGGAUGGCGAGCCCGGCCGCUGACCUGCCGGGGUAAC
rnacentral:ncRNA from 22 species